GUCCUUUUGAAUUUAAUUGAAGGUCUGACCUGCCCAGUGAUGAAUUUAACGGCCGCGGUAUACUGACCGUGCAAAGGUAGCAUAAUCAUUAGUCUUUUAAUAGAGGGCUGGAAUGAAUGGUUUAACGAGGAACUGACUGUCUCACUUUAUUUGUUUUAAAAUUUAAUUUUUUAGUCAAAAAGCUAAAAUUUUAUUGGAAGACGAGAAGACCCUAUAGAUCUUUAUAUAAUUUUUUAUAGUUAUUUUUAUAUUAAUGUGAUUAUAUUAAUUUGUAUUUUGUUGGGGUGACAAAAAUAUAUAAUUAACUUUUUUAUUUAUUUACCAUUGAUAUAUGAAUAUUAGAUCCAUUACUAGUGAUUGUUAGAUUAAGUUACCUUAGGGAUAACAGCGUAAUCCUCCUCCAGAGUUCAUAUUUACAGGAAGGGCUUGCGACCUCGAUGUUGGAUUAAGAUAAUAGUUAGGUGUAGCCGCUUAAUUUAUAGGUCUGUUCGACCUUUAAAAUCUU
rnacentral:rRNA from 1 species